GAUCCUUAAUAAUGAGAACUGAGUGAGAAGACUCCUAACCUCUAAUGCAAGUUGUAAGAUAUGUAGAACCCUAUUUGUAAGCGUCCAUCAUGUGCUGCGUAUGUGUACUCCAGCUGUAGCAACUUCGCAUUCAAUGAUUAAGGCUGCAAAGAAACACGAGUUUUUCUCUAUUGGGUUGGCAAAGUGGUUCUAGAUUAAUCUCUCUAACCCUCAAUAUUUUGCUUGUGAUCCUACAAACUGGCAAUGACCUUUUGGCAUCAUUUGCAGGCAGCUUAGGAUCCUUACUAAUGAGAACCGAGUGAGAAGACACCUAACCUCGGAUUCAAGUUGUAAGAUAUGUAGAACCCUAUUUGUAAGCGUUCAUCACGUGCUGCGUAUGUGUACCCCAACUGUAGCAACUUGACAUUCAAUGAUUAAGGCUGUAAAAAGACGCGAGCCUUUCUCUAUUGGGUUGGAAAAAUGCUUUGGAUCAGAAGGAACAAUUAUGUUUUUAAUGCAAAUUUUGUGGAAAAUGGAAGUGUCUUGGAGAAGAGCUAUCGCAUGAGGGAGUAUUAUCUGGCUUCUAAUCGUGGGUUGGUUCAGUUGAGGCAUACAAGUUAUAAAACUUGCAGGUUAGUAAGGCAGAUUUCGCUAGAUGAUGGAUGGCUGAAAGUGAACAUGAAUGUGCUAUUUGUAAUAGAAUUGGGUAUGCAUCAGCAAGUGGACUAAUCCGUGACAAGCAUGGGAGAUAGAUUGCUAGUUUUUCAAGAAAUAUUGGCUGUUGUUCAAUUAUCACCACUGAACUUUAGGGUGCA